UACGUAGGGGGCAAGCGUUAUCCGGAUUUACUGGGUGUAAAGGGAGCGUAGACGGCGAAGAAAGUCUGGAGUGAAAGCCCGCGGCUUAACCGCGGAACUGCUUUGGAAACUUUUUGGCUGGAGUACCGGAGAGGUAAGCGGAAUUCCUAGUGUAGCGGUGAAAUGCGUAGAUAUUAGGAGGAACACCAGUGGCGAAGGCGGCUUACUGGACGGUAACUGACGUUGAGGCUCGAAAGCGUGGGGAGCAAACAGGG
rnacentral:rRNA from 1 species